rnacentral:rRNA from 1 species
UGAGGGAUCUUCGGCAAUGGGCGCAAGCCUGACCGAGCAACGCCGCGUGCGGGAUGACGCUUUUCGGAGUGUAAACCGCUUUUCUGGGGGACGAGGGAGUACGGACGGUACCCCAGGAAGAAGUCUCGGCUAACUACGUGCCAGCAGCCGCGGUAAUACGUAGGAGACGAGCGUUGUCCGGAGUUACUGGGCGUAAAGGGUGCGCAGGUGGCCGCGCGCGUGGGGGGUGAAAUCGCCUGGCUUAACUGGGCGGGGGCCUUCCAGACGGCGUGGCUUGAGCAGCGGAGGGGGGCGUGGAAUUCCGGGUGGAGCGGUGAAAUGCGUAGAGAUCCGGAGGAACACCGACGGCGCAGGCAGCGCCCUGGCCGCUUGCUGACACUGAGGCACGAAAGCUGGGGGAGCAAACAGGAUUAGAUACCCGCGUAGUCC